UACGUAGGGGGCAAGCGUUGUCCGGAAUGACUGGGCGUAAAGGGAGCGUAGGCGGCAAGGUAAGUUAUAUGUUUAAUCUCACAGCUUAACCGUGAAACUGCAUAUAAAACUGCCUAGCUUGAGUGUGGGAGAGGUAAGCGGAAUUCCUAGUGUAGCGGUGGAAUGCGUAGAUAUUAGGAGGAACACCUGUGGCGAAGGCGGCUUACUGGAACAUAACUGACGCUGAGGCUCGAAAGCGUGGGGAGCAAACAGG
rnacentral:rRNA from 1 species